GAUGAAGAACGUAGCGAAAUGCGAUAAGUAAUGCGAAUUGCAGAAUCCGUGAGUCAUCGAAUCUUUGAACGCACAUUGCGCCCUCUGGUAUUCCGGAGGGCAUGCCUGUUCGAGCGUCAUUAUCACCCCUCAAGCCCGGCUUGUUGUUGGAUGCAGCGCUUAUCCCGCUCCUCCCAAAGAUAAUGACGGCGUCUGCGACGACUCCUGUACACUGAGCUUUCGGGCACGUACACGGCUAGAAGUCCAGAGCCGGUCGCCGUCCCCCCCGCGGGGACACCCAUUACCACAAGGUUGACCUCGGAUCAGGUAGGAAUACCCGCUGAACUUAAGCAUAUCAAUAAGCGGAGGA
rnacentral:misc_RNA from 1 species